AUGCUAGUGCUGCCAGUCAGCUUCCUGCCCCCCCCCCCACGGACUGGGCCCCACCUCGCACUGAGCUCCCGGCGGCCCGGGCACGCGCCUCGUCCCUGCCCCUGUGAGGGGGCUGCACUCCGGGCUCUGCACGCGCACCGGCUUCCCCCGGGCUCUGGCUGCCGCCUGCCGUCCACACCAACACACACACACCAUGGCCGUUCCCACACCUGCAGGGCCACACUCAGGAUGGGGCCGAGGGCACCAGGCACGGCCACUCCAUGCACCCACACUGGGGGAAGGGGAGACGAGCCAGACGUGCAGCCCGAGCGGCCGAUCACAGGUGCUUUAUUGGGGGUGGCAGCCCGGCGUCGCUCAGCUACAACCUGCGGACGGAGGACAGGGGCUGAGCAGGGGCCCUCGGUCCGGCCCUGUUUCCCUCUGGGAGCCCUGCCCGCCCCACUCCAGGUCUGGGGGUGUCCCGUGGGCUGUCCGGGGGAGCGCAGCACAAACGCCUGCCCCACUCACUGGAUCUCGCGGAACGCCCGCUUCUCCACCAGCUUCACUUUGUACUUGCGCUUGAACCUGGAAGAGGAGGAGCAGUCAGGGCGGAGGGCGGACCCCGCAGGCCCGGCGCCCACCCUGCCCCACCACCCCACACACGCUCCCCCAGGCCCCGCCCCUCCCGGGCCCCGCCCUCACUUGGCGCGCUCCCGGGGCUCGAUCAUGUUCCUCCUCUGGAAGCUCUUGAAGCGGUCCCGCAGGAUGUUGCCCUCGGGCUGCGGGGCAGGGGGGAGGGGGGCUCAGCUCCAGGGGCUCGGGGCGGGGGGAGGGGGGCUCAGCUCCAGGGGCUCGGGGACAGUGGAGGGGCCUGCAGUUCUGGGCAUAGGACAACCCCUGCAGGAUGCUGGGAAACCAGGGACCACCACCCCGCCCCUCAGCACCCUGUGCCCUCAGCCCCUGGACACUGGCCCACCUGGCCCAGUCCAGGGGUAGCCAAGGUGUCGCCCACAGCCCCGGGGGGCACGGGGAGCAAGGAUGGGGUCAUCACCGGGCACAGGGUCCCCGCAGCCCACCCCCCACCUCCCCCCCCAGCAGGCACCUUCAGCGUCCUGAGCGAGUCGGAC
rnacentral:lncRNA from 1 species